GUGUAUUAUUUUUAGGGUAAACAAUAUACAAUGAACACAGGAAUAUCUUUUGAGCAAGAUGUUGCUGCUUUAAUAGAAGAGAUCAAAUCCACUAAAAAGCCCAAAAUUAGUAUUAAGAAAAGAGUUCCAGCAUUAAUUAAACUAUGGCACAAGUAUGAGACAUAUAUUAAAAAAAAUCAAUUAAGUCUUAAAUUGAUAAAAAUAGGUGAAAUUUUGCUAGAUGAGCAGGAUUAUGGAAUGGCAGCAAAAUGUUUUGGUUUGUAUCUUCAGGAAACACAUUUGUUUAGACAAGAAAAAAUUUUUGAGGAAGAUUAUGUGAAAACAUUUUUCAAUAAUAAAAUAUUUGAUGAGAGCUUGAUUAAAGCAUUUUUGUGUUUUGGUUCUUGUAUGGCAUCAUAUUAUCUUGAUGAAGAUCCCAAUUUUCAAGUUUCAACAUCAAAAAUGAAAAUUGAACAGAUGUUAAAUAUAUUACAAUUAACUUCAGAAAAAGCAAUCACUAAAAGUAGCUACUCUUGGCUUGUAUAUAAUUGUACUAUACAUAUUUACAACAUCUGCUUGAAAUUGUUAAUGCAAAAACUAUCAACAAUUGCAAUUGAUUAUCUAAUAUGGUGUUGCGUUUGUAUGGAGUCUUCCAUUCCACUAAUGACAGUGAAAUAUUUGACAUGGCGCACUCAAUUGUACAUAGCCACUAGUGAAUGUUAUUAUAUUUUAAAUUCAGGAGUUUGUGGUGAAGAGUUUGCAAUAAGAGGUCUGCAAAAGGUUAUUGAAUUAAAAGAAAUUGAAAAGAUGAGCUCAUCAACACCAUGUCCACUAAGAUUACAGAUGUUUAAAGAGUCCUUUCUCAAAUUAAAAAUUACAAUAUUUAAGAGAGAUGUCUUUGAAAGUAGAAAACAUGCUAAAAGUUUAAAACCAAAGUUUAAACUAGUAUUAAAUGAAAUUCUCCAUAAUAAAUGGCCACGAACAGCUUGUGAACAACUGUUAAUUGAGUCUUUUAAUGGGAGAUCUGCCCAGUUUUUUGCUGUAAUAGAGACUUUAGCCAGUAAAGAGCAUGAGACAAUUAAAAGACAAAAUAUUCAACAUGAAGAUGAAAAUGAGCAAGAAUUGAUUUCGGAACUCUUUUUUGCAGGUGUUGAGCUUGCUACUUUAAAUGGUCAUGAUGAAGAUCAGAGAGUUAACCGAAUUAGCGUGUCUGAGUCUAUAAUUACAUUAGCUGUUGCAGAAUCUGAUUUGAUAACAUUGUCUUCAUUAACAAAGUUUUUAAUACUUGCAUUUAUGCAUGAAAAAUGGGAGAUUUUUGAGAACCUGAUCUAUGAAGUUUUACACGAAUUAGAAAAGCAUAAUAAUAAAAGUGACUAUAUUCUUGAACGACAAAUUUUACAGAUUUUAUCUGCUUUUUCAAUAAUGGUUCCAUCUUAUCAAGUUAGAACAGGCUUAAAGAUAAAGAAAGAAAAAUCCAUGCAUGAAGCCAAAAAAGUCUCUGUUAAAGAUUUGUUAAAUGUUUCAAAAUUGUUGAGUGAUUUUGUGACAAAUGAAAGUUCAAAUAUGUUUAUUUCAAAAUACCACAGUAUGCUGGUUGACAUUGUUCUUUUUAUAUGGUCUGCUUUCAAGCCCCAUUUUACAUAUGAAAUAUCUCAAGGUCAUAUACACACUUUACUUAAAGAAACAAGUUUUUGUAUGAUAUUUGAAAUACUAAUCAAAAUCCACCAUGUUAUGGUUGCAGUUGGUAUUCAGAAUGUUAACUUGACUUUUUUUAUUGAAGCAACAUUAACAGUAUCAAUAUUUAUUGAACAAUUUGUUGAAAAAUCCCAGUUUGGUGAAAUUAUACCUUUUUCAAUCUCACCUGAAAUCAUGAAACAAGCUGCUUCUAUCUUGAAUGUUAAAAUGGAUACUCUCUGCUUCCUUCAUUUUAUCAAUAAUUUACUUCUGUCAGCUUUGAAAUUUAUUCAGACUGCAAAGAAUUUAAUGAAGUUAUUUGUUGAAAUUAAAGAUGUAAAAUUUGAUGAAGACAAAAAAUCAAAUGCAAGAAACGUUGCUGCAUUGCAUCUAGAAUUAAUGUUUAAACAACAAUGUAUAGCAACAUUAAUUGAUUACUAUACACCGAAAGAAGAGAUCAAAUCUGCUUCAUCAAUAAAAACAUUAACAAAAAAUCAAGCAAAACUAAAAACAAAGUGUUUCAUAGCAAAUAAUGGUUGCGAAAAUGAUCUUUCAAAAGCUUUGUUUAUUAUUUCAAAAGCAUCAGUAAAAAAUAGCCAAGCAAGUAAAAUGUUAAAGGAAGCAUCACAACUAUUGCAAAAGGAACUGCACAUCAUUAAAAAAUCAAAUUUGAAUACGGAUGGAUCUCUAAUCCCUCCAGCACCAAUAUUGGUGUGUCAAGGUUUAAAUUGUGUUGUAUUGAAACCAGCACCUUUUCCUACUGCAGGAAAUGUUGCUUACUACUCAAUUUAUCUGAGGCUUGCAACUUCUAAAGGUGUCACACUGAAUGAUGUAUCUUUUGAAGGAACAGGAGACUUGGUACAAAGUUCUUCAGAUUGUUUAUUUGUUGUUAAAGGACUAGCUCCUAAUACAGCAUAUAUUGCUGCUGUUGCAGCAUUUAAUGAAAAGCUGAUAUUAGUUGGAGGAUCAAUAGGAAAUGCAUGCAGUCCUUUUUACACUAUUGACUCAUUUCCAGCAGUACAGGCUUUUGCAUAUCUUACCCAGGUUGCAUAUAAAUGUCAAGUAUAUGAAAUUGCUAAAUAUGCUUCAGAAUUGAUUUGGAAUUUUUUUGUUUCUCAAGAUGACAACAUGACAAAUUUAUCCUCUAAAAAUGAUACUUUUAAAAGAUUAAAUUUUUCAACUUUCAAUAAUUCAUCAACAGUUUUGCAACGACUGUUUGUACAGACAAUAUUUAUAAGUGCUGAUGUUAUUAUUAAAGAAGAACAGUUGUAUUGGUAUAAUGUUGCUAUGAAAAGUCAACUUGCAAAUAAUCAGUUAGAACGUAUUAAUCUUUGCAGAAAAAUUAUUCUUGGAGUACAAGUGUCAGCUUUAUUAAAUGAUGAAUCAUUAUGCAUGCAGGGUUGCGUGCUCAUAUAUGAAUUAUUAUUUCCUAUUGUUUAUUGGAAAUUAUUAAUUUGUCCUGCAUUACAGAUCAUAGAGUUUUUAUUUGCAAUUUUACAAGAACUAAAGAAUGUUUUAAAGUAUAUGAGUUUUAAUUCAGAUACUCUUCGAAUGAUGAUCAUUUGUCUCACUAAUUAUACUGCCAAAAUUCUUGUGUCACUUAAAAGUGAAUCAGCCGCCAUCAGUGUAUUGCAGUUGGGUAAAAAUAUUUGUUCUAAUAUCUUAUCAAAUGGUCAUGCCUUAGAUUCAGUUGUCUCAGUCAACAAAGUGAACUUGCAUCAAAAAGUUAGGAAAAGGUUAAGUGUUAGUUGUGAAUUAAAAGAAUUUUAUACAAGGGAGAUAAAGCUACAUACUAUUGAAUUGUUGGCUUUAAAACUUUCAAAUCAAGAAAAAGAUCUGUUAUUCAAUGGAGGUGAAGAUUCAAUUAUCUUUAAAAUUGAUUUGGAUAAUAUGACAAGUCUAGAAGCAUACAAUGAAGUAUUUAAGUUCAAGAAACGAGCAGAUUUCUUAGAAAAUUUUGUUGGAGUCAUUUCAAAAGCUUUAAAUGAAAGAUCAUUUAAUAAUGUUAUCAAAUGGACCGAAGAGACACUAAGUUUGUUGAAGAUAAGAAAUUUAAAAUUUCUAAUUGCCAACGAAAAUGAAUCAUGUGUUGAAAUGAAAGAUGACUUGCAGGUCACAGAUAAUAAUGGUGAUGCAAAAAAAGAUGAAAAAAAAAUUCAGAAAAAUGAAAACAAACAUAUAAAAAAACCUCAUCAAACAAAUAAACUUAGAAAUGUUAUUAAGAGAUCAGAUUUGUGCAAAAAAAAUAAACUCACCAAUCAGACAAAAGAACAAGAAUCUACAGUAAAGUUAAAUUUCAAGGCUGCUUUCAAAGAUGUUCUACCAAAAUUUUUACAUUUUUUAAAGCUAAAGCAACAGCGUAUGAAGCUAAGGGUAUUAUCACAUAUUGAACUUCCAUGGAGAUGUCAGAUGUACCUAAUCAAUGGGGAAUGUCAUUUUCAAAUAGCUUUAGAGAAGUUUACAGAUAUGGUAUCACAAGGAUCUACAAAAAAUGUUAUUUCUCACCCAACAAAUCAACUUGAAAUCGAGUGCAACAGUGAAAGAAUCAUCGAUUCAAAUAUGUUUUCAUUGGGAUCGUUGGGUGUAUUACUUGUAAAUUGGUUAGGCAGUAUGAAAGGGCCUUUAAUUCAAACUGAUAACAUUAAGGUUUGCGCUUUUGAAGAUCAAUCUGUUGAAAAUGAUGCAAGCUUACCACCUAUUGCAAUAAAGAAGCCAAAAUACUUUGACAAAAAGUUUCUUGAACAUUUUAAAGAAGCUUGUUUGUUUUUAAAAAGGGCAAUGAUUCUGGCACACCGAGGUAAACACUGGAUGCUGCUUCAGCAAGCUUGUAACAACCUCUUAGUCUACACUCAAGUCUUUGUUUUUAAAGUUGUUGUUAACACUUCUUUGGAUAGUGAAAAUCAAUUUUAUAUUCAUCACCUAAGAUCAAUAAUCUUCAUGAACUUUUAUUAUGCUGCUGAUUUAAUUCUAGAUAUGAUUUCAGUAAAUUUAAAGAAUAAGGUACAACACAAAUGUUUUUCUGACUGUCUCAUUGAAAACUAUGACAUUAGUUAUGCAGACAUGAUGCGUGUGAUGUUUUUUGCAAUUGAAGUUUUGUUUUACGAAAAAAAGUUUGAUAAAGUUUGCAUUCUCAUCAUACGGUUAAAUGAGUUAACACAAGAAUUCUACUGCGAAGAACUUUUUCCAUUGUUGUCUUAUUCUAAACAACAUUUAAAAGACACUAGAGAUGGUGUACUCAAAACUCAAGACACUAGAGAUAGUAUACUCAAAACACACUUAUUAACCUCUAAAUUAAAAAUUAAAAGUUCAUUAUGCAACAGUGAAGAAACAAAAAAAAGUGCAUUGUUGGAUGAAUUUUCACACAAACACCAAAUAAAUGUAGUGUUUCACGCUGAAGAAGUUUUGAAAAAGUUUUACAGUUGCUUAGAAACUAAGAGUAAAAACACACAAUUAUUGAAGCAUAGCAGGAAGUUGUUGUUUAGAUACUUAGCUGGAAAAAUUGGUGUUGUCAAAAAUUUAUUAAUAAAUGCUAAAACCUUUUCAAAUGAACCAAUAAAUCUGUGGAAAAAUUCAUUUUCAAGUAUAGAAGAUGUUGAAGUCCAACCACUAGUAUUAGACAGUGAUUUAGCGAUAGUAAUUGCUUCUUACGAAAACACAAUCAACUAUCUUUUACAACAACAGUCCGAGUAUGCGGCAUCAGCCAUGAAUGAACUUGGAAAUAUUUUUUUUCAUUUAAAGGAUAAAAGAAGUGCUAAUAUGUGGUGGUCAAAAGCAAUUGACAGUGUAGUCAAAAGAUCAGAAGGUUUAAAAUCAUGGCGCGAGCUUAUUUUAGCAGAUGAAAAAUCAAUUUUAGCAUGUAAAAAAUUAUUAGAAAAAUUUGAUAUUUGGGGUUGUCUCUUAGUUAGUGUACUUGCUGCUAAAAUUGCAAGAUAUAUUUAUGAUGGUAAUGUAAGUUCUUGUAUCGAUGCAUGUCAGAUGUCAGCUGCAUUUGUUAAGGCAAUAUUUUGCUGUUCCAUCAACCAUCCUUUAUCAUGUGCUGAUUAUGCAACCUACAAAAUUGGUCAAGCAUAUCCAACAAAGCAUGUAUUACCUGGCAUCAAUCUUUUUUCAGAUGAUCAUAAUGUUAAUUCUGCCAGUUUACUUGUUAACAUGAUAUGGACUUGCAAACAACUCCUAGUUGCAGGCUAUUGCAUAGAAAUUCAGCCAUUAUUAACAUUUUCUCAAUAUCUUUCUGAUCAGAUUGGUCAUUUAUCAAGUGCAGUUGAAGUAAAAAUUGCAAGGGUAUCUUCACUUAUUCAAUUAAAUUUGUUAAAUCCUGCCAUUGACAACUUUAUUGAUAUAAUCUCAGGCUUUAAUCUUCCUGCUCCAGCAGAUGUUAUUAGCAGAAAUAUUUUUUAUAAAUGGCCAUUAAUUGAGGAUGAUAUCCUAACUUCACAUGAAUUUUUAAACUCAUUGUGUCAGUUUAAUGUCACCCCUCAUCAUUUGGUUGCAUAUGGGAGUUCACUAUGUUAUCAAGUGCGCAUACAGCAAGCUGUGUUAUUAUCAGCAAUUGCAUCUUUAUCAUUUGAGUAUCCUAAAUUUGAAAAAAAUGAUAUGAAUUGCAAUAAAUCUUUUCUAGAGAGUAAAAUGAGAGAGUUUAUGAAAAUCACAGAGAAAGAUGACAGUUUGCCGUCAAUUAUUUCUUCAUUUGAUUGUUUGUUAAGGAACAGUGCUCAGCUAAGAGGCAAGCUACUUGGCAGAUCUAAACAAAUUUUAAAUGGAAUUUUGACUACUUCUUCUGAAGACUGUAUGUUAACUUUAUCACAACAGUUUGAAUUUUUUAUUAAUUGCCAUUUGGAACUUGCUCAUAUUAACGAACAACAGCUGAUGUUUACUCGAUCAAUAGACCAUAUUUACUUGUGUCUGCAAGCUUUUAACACUUUUGAUGUAAAUCGAUUAAAAGAAAAUGCUUUAGGGUAUUGUAAAUCCUCUUCUAGUGUCUGUAAAGUUCCGGACUUUAGUGUAAACAUGUGGAUGGUAUGUAAGAUCAAAUUAUGUAGUUUGCUUACCCAAAGAAUUAUUUUUCAGCCAAAUCAUGGUUCAGUUAAAGAAGCAAAUGAAAUUUUGUUUCAGGCAAUUGUAGAAUGUAAAACAUUUAAUGAUGUAUUUUCCUUAUUUGCAUUUGAAUUUUUGAAGCUUAAAAGUGACAUACAUAAUGGUAUGUCAGUAAGUGAUGCUGUUAGCAAAUUAGAGGAGAUACAAAACUUUAUAGUGAAACUUCAUGAAAUACCUUUACCAAUAAAGUAUUUACUUUUUGAAGUUCAAACUAUGAAAGCUGAAUUUUAUGCUUCGAUUUGUUUGGAUACCUCUAUGAAAUUUUAUCUAGUGUUAGAAAAUUCUAUUUUGAAUGAAAUGUUGUUUCAUGGACUAACACUUGAUAGUAACUUCAAAUAUCCUUUAUUAAAUCAAAAGUGUUCAAAUUCUAAACUUUUCUUUAUUUUUUUGGCUGUUAAAUUUCGUUCUUUAAGUCUCCAAGCAAAGUCUGUCAACUCAAAUAAUCAGGUCAAAUUGAGAGACUUCUUUAUGAGUUUGGGUGCUUAGAUAUUAUGUCAUGCAUUGCCACAUUCUUGGAUAUUAUUACAACUACUUGCACACUAACUGGUGAUCUUAAUAUGUCUCAGCAAUGCUGUUGUGAAAUUGCUUUGGCACUUCUCUACAAGAUAAAAACCAACAAAAGUACAAACCCACCAGGUCACAUUUGUUAUUACUUCAGUUGGUUGUGUAUUCACACAGCAUCAGCUAUUUCUGAGUUUGAGCAAAAUACAGAAUUGUAUAGAAAUAUAGAUUCAGUUAUAACUAAUCAUGAUGAGUUUCCUGAAUUCCUUAAGGAAGAUCUUGGAGAAAA
rnacentral:misc_RNA from 1 species